rnacentral:rRNA from 1 species
AAUAUUUGACAAUGGGCGAAAGCCUGGUCCAGCCAUGCCGCGUGUGUGAAUAAGGUCUUCGGGGUGUAUAGCACUUUAAGAUGGGGGGAAGGGCAGUAAUAUAAUACCUUGCUGUUUUGUAGUUACCGACUGAGUAACCACCGGCUAAGUUCGUGCCAGCAUCCGCGGUAAUACGAAGGGUGCAAGCGUUAAUCGGAAUUACUGGGCGUAAAGCGCGCGUAGAUGGGUCGUUAAGUUGGAUGUGAAAGCCCCGGGCUCAACCUGGGAACUGCAUCCAAAACUGGCGAGCUAGAGUACGGUAGAGGGUGGUGGAAUUUCCUGUGUAGCGGUGAAAUGCGUAGAUAUAGGAAGGAACACCAGUGGCGAAGGCGACCACCUGGACUGAUACUGACACUGAGGUGCGAAAGCGUGGGGAGCAAACAGG